rnacentral:tRNA from 1 species
GUUUCCGUGGUGUAGCGGUUAUCACGUCUGCUUUACACGCAGGAGGUCCCCGGUUCGAUCCCGGGCGGGAACA